AUUGAACGCUGGCGGCAGGCCUAACACAUGCAAGUCGAGCGGAUGAAGGGAGCUUGCUCCUGGAUUCAGCGGCGGACGGGUGAGUAAUGCCUAGGAAUCUGCCUGGUAGUGGGGGAUAACGUCCGGAAACGGGCGCUAAUACCGCGUACGUCCUGAGGGAGAAACGGGGGGAUCUUCGGACCUCACGCUAUCAGAUGAGCCUAGGUCGAAUUAGCUAGUUGGUGGGGUAAAGGCCUACCAAGGCGACGAUCCGUAACUGGUCUGAGAGGAUGAUCAGUCACCCUGGAACUGAGACACGGUCCAGACUCCGACGGGAGGCAGCAGUGGGGAAUCUUCCACAAUGGGCAAAAGCCUGACAGAGCAACGCCGGGGGGGGGAAGAAGGUCUUCGGAUCGUAAAGACUUGUAAUUAGGGAGGAAGAAAUGUAGGUUAAACCCUGCACGUCUUGACGGUACCUAAGCAGAAAGCCCCGGCUAGCUGCGUG
rnacentral:rRNA from 1 species